rnacentral:rRNA from 1 species
UACGGAGGAUGCGAGCGUUAUCCGGAUUUAUUGGGUUUAAAGGGUGCGUAGGCGGUCCGUUAAGUCAGCGGUAAAAUUGCGGGGCUCAACCCCGUCGAGCCGUUGAAACUGGCAGACUUGAGUUGGCGAGAAGUACGCGGAAUACGCGGUGUAGCGGUGAAAUGCAUAGAUAUCGCGCAGAACUCCGAUUGCGAAGGCAGCGUACCGGCGCCAGACUGACGCUGAGGCACGAAAGCGUGGGGAUCGAACAGG